UACGUAGGGACCAAGCGUUGUUCGGAUUUACUGGGCGUAAAGGGCGCGUAGGCGGCGCGGUAAGUCACUUGUGAAAUCUCUGAGCUUAACUCAGAACGGCCAAGUGAUACUGCAGUGCUAGAGUGUGGAAGGGGCAAUCGGAAUUCUUGGUGUAGCGGUGAAAUGCGCAGAUAUCAGGAGGAACACCGAUUGCGAAGGCAGCUCGCUGGGACGUGACUGACGCUGAGACGCGAAAGCGUGGGGAGCAAACAGG
rnacentral:rRNA from 1 species